AGGAACCUAUUCCAAUCCAAACUGUCGUACCUGAGACUCUGGAGAUUAAAGAGAGUGUUGAUGAGGCUAAAACAGAUGCCAAUGAAGACUGUGAAUUGGUUACAGACCUGGAAAUUACAUCUGAGCACAAGCCUGAUGCUGUCACACCUGGUGGUAAGAGGCAUCUUCCUGCUGCAUCAAGUGAAUCCACUGAUUUGGACGGAUUACAUGAUGGAGAACUGUCAUCAAACAAGCUGAAGAAGAUAAUUAAAAUGGAGAAGAUUGAUUAGAUCUAUUUUUAUUUCGUGUGUGUUUUGCUUAGGUGUUUGUUAUAA